rnacentral:rRNA from 1 species
UACAGAGGUCUCAAGCGUUGUUCGGAUUCAUUGGGCGUAAAGGGUGCGUAGGCGGCGCGGUAAGUCGGGUGUGAAAUCUCGGAGCUUAACUCCGAAACUGCAUUCGAUACUGCCGUGCUUGAGGACUGGAGAGGAGACUGGAAUUUACGGUGUAGCGGUGAAAUGCGUAGACAUCGUAAGGAAGACCAGUGGCGAAGGCGGCUCACUGGCCCGAUACUGACGCUGAGGCACGAAAGCGUGGGGAGCAAACAGG